UCUGGCUUCCCCUUUUCUAGGUCAGGGAAGCUUGCGUUGGAGCCAAUCCUGAGCUCUGGUGAAACUUCUGUCUUCUUUGUAAUGCCCAGCUGUCAGCUUGAGGGGGCACUAACCGCAUCACCAGCCAACAGGGGAAGAACAUGUCCCUGGAGAGCUCUUACUCCUGCCAGGAUGAAUUUGGAGCCUACAGGUUGAACGUCGAAACAGACACAAAAUGGGAAACUCUUUUGACGGAAUGAGACAGAACAGCUGCUUUGACUCAAAACAAAAGUCGGGGCACACUCUGCAACUUCACUGGAACAUAGAUGUGUUUGUAUGCCCUGUUCCUAACUUCUUGUGCUCACUAGGUUGGCCACCUGAGUGUACCAUUGAGCAGUGGACUUUGGUCCUAUAACAUCUGCAAAGUGAUUGUGACUGUGAGUGUGACUGUGUGUGUGUUAGUGCUCUUUUGAAUCUUAUAAUCAAUAAACAUGGCAUCUUGACAUAU